rnacentral:tRNA from 1 species
GGACGGGUAGCUCAGUGGUAGAGCGCCGGCAUGGCAAGCCGGAGGCCGCGGGUUCAAAUCCCGCCCCGUCCACCA